GACGAACCGUGCAAACGUUGUUCGGAAUCACUGGGCUUAAAGGGCGCGUAGGCGGGCCGGCAAGUCGAAGGUGAAAUCCCACGGCUCAACCGUGGAAGUGCCCCCGAUACUGCCUGUCUCGAGGGAGAUAGGGGCGUGCGGAACUUCCGGUGGAGCGGUGAAAUGCGUAGAUAUCGGAAGGAACACCGGUGGCGAAAGCGGCGCGCUGGAUCUCUUCUGACGCUGAUGCGCGAAAGCCAGGGGAGCAAACGGG
rnacentral:rRNA from 1 species